UACGUAGGGGGCAAGCGUUGUCCGGAUUUAUUGGGCGUAAAGCGCGUGUAGGCGGCUUGGCAAGUCCGCUGUGAAAACUCGAGGCUCAACCUCGAGAUGUCGGUGGAAACUGCCUGGCUAGAGUCCGGAAGAGGAGUGUGGAAUUCCUGGUGUAGCGGUGAAAUGCGCAGAUAUCAGGAAGAACACCUAUGGCGAAGGCAGCACUCUGGGACGGUACUGACGCUGAGGCGCGAAAGCUAGGGGAGCAAACGGG
rnacentral:rRNA from 1 species